ensembl:lncRNA
CAGGACACCUGACACCCACAGCCUUGUCAUCUGGAGCUCACAUUGCCCCUCUCUUGCCCUGGCUUCAGUCAUAGCCUGUAACUUGCUUUGUAGGGUUCCCAUGUUCUUGGCAUUUCCAAUAUCCUGCAGUAUUCACUGAAAUCUGUGCCCCCAUGCUGGCGGCUUUAUGCAAGUCUGUGCGGUCUCAGGAGUAUAUAGAAUAACUUCUUUCCCCUGUGCUGUAAUAGUUCCAUGCUUGCUUCUCUGUGUGAGACAAUAACCUUCAGCACAAGAUUUUCUUUGCAGCUUUAAGCAGGCUCAUCUGGCAUCUCUUUAUACUGCUUUUGUGCCCUGGGUUCUAACUGUAGACCUGACUAAACGCCUCUGGCUGCAACCAGGACACAGCAUGAAUGCCAUGAUUUCUUUUUAAAACUUAUUUCUUGCCCAACCUCACUCUAAUUUAGGACACAGACCAGAACCUAAACAAACCACCUAUGUUCAGUCCCAAUGGGGUUCUUGUUCCUGUCUGGAACCCCAUGAGUCGGGGGCAUCCCUGUACUCUGGUGAUCUUUUGUUCUCCCAGCACUUCCUUGGCUUCUCUAGUUCACAAGCCAAUUCCACAAGCCAAGAACCACAUGGUCUGGUCUAGGUGCACAGUGCUAUCACUUCUCUGAAUUGGUACUUCUAUGUUGCUAUGACAUCCCUUCCCUGAAACAUGUAAGGGAUUAUUGACAUUUAUUUUGACUCCUGAGCUCUUGGGUCUUGGCCCAUCAGGGAAAAGGAGGCCUGUAAGGAGGAGCUCAAGCCAUAGGAGCUUUCACUGAAGGAGGUUCACAUGCAGGACCAGGAAGCAGAUACUUGCAGAAAUGAAGAAAACCAGGGAUGUGCUUUAACUGAAGGAAGACUGAAGGAAAGAGUCACCACCCACCUUUGCAGUGGUCCAGCCUGUUUGCUCACUUUAUCGACAUGUCAUUGGGAAUAGGAUCCACCAGGGAUGGACCUCUGAACAACCCACACACACCUCUGACCCACAUCCAAACUACACCUUGCACAGGUCUUUUCAAG